rnacentral:lncRNA from 1 species
UCGUCGGCUGGUUUUUGACAGAAAAAUUGCGCCGGGCUGCUAUUUUUCUGUUGGUAAAACUGGCCUCUGAACUUUUUUUCGGUUCCGACUCGUCGGUUUUUGCGGGUUUUCGUUCCACGGGACGCCAGACUGGCAGUGUAGCUUGCGCAAUGCAUUCGCUAUGAGGCGAACUUGACGACGCGAACCGAAAUCCCGCAGGAACCGAAAAAACGUCGGAAUUCAUGCUAGUGUAGCUUAGGCUUUAGGCACAUUUCAAUUCAAAUUUGAAUUUGCUUCUCUCACUUCUGUGGGUCUUGGAGUUGUGGAUAUAUUUUGUGGAGCGCGGAGAAUCGGGGAUUUGUGGAGUAUUGGAUUGACGUUUUCUUGGUGUUUUUUUAAAGGGACUAUCCCACCUUCUAAAAUGUUGUUAAAACCAGUUAAAUUGUGCCCGACUUUAUAGAUUGGAUGACCAGGAACACGGUUCUGGCAUUUAUUUUUCAUUAAACAUCUUAGGCUUCCCAUAUUCCAAACACAAACUUUCAAAUAUGUGACGUCACAGCCCAAAAUUACCUCCUUCCCCAGGCCACAUUACUGUCAUAAAGCUGAUUCUUUUUACUCUGUAGGCACCACAACAAAGUUCAGACCAAGUUUUAAGCGAUUUUUCAACGAACAAACCCAUUUAAAUCAGAAUGACUAAACGAGGUGACAUCACACUAACGGUCGCUCCAUGUUGAAGAUAGGGCCUUGUACAAGGCCCAUUUUCAAAUGAAGGGAACAAAUUUCUUCAACACCAAGAGGCCGCUGGGGUUGCAACCUAGAUAGAUAGUGGUUUCUGAACCUCGCCGCAAACUUGGCUAUCUCAACUCAAACCCCAUGUUAAAGGUGGGAUAGUCCCUUUAAAAAGAUAUUUUCAUAGGCUACAAAUGCCACCAGGAAGACCAAGACCAAGACAGUGCUCAUGCCCAAAUCAUCGGCAACACAGGAUGGCAAACUUCGCCUCCCCUGGCUUGUAUGAAGCCUUGAUUUCCAUUUAAGGAAGUAAGUCUGUGCCCAUAUGGAUGAUGCACGUGUUGGGCAUUUUUGCAAAACAAAGCAGUUGAAAGGGUUCAUUUGCCGAGGCCGUAUGGAGUACGCCAAGCAAUGUCAUGCUGAUGGGGAGACGUGAGUAUGACAAUGAAACAGACUACAAUUCUUGGCAAAAGGGCUAGCCAAAUGCAUCAUUGAGUUUGACAAUUCUGUACCAGUCAUUGUCAAGCUGGAAAUCUGGGUAACGGUAAAGCUGGGGUCACUGUUAGCAUAUAGGUAUCAGUCGGGCAAACUGCAGGGAGGUAAUCUAAAAUAAGAUUUAUCUAAUUUAAGAAUAUGACGUCACCCAAAUGUGCUGAGUGAUGGCCAUAUAAGGAGUGAUGAUCAAUAUUUAGACUAUAUUCCCGACAUGUCCACAUUUGAACCCUCCACAACCAUCGAAGAACUGCUCAUAACCACAAUAUUUGUUUUGCUGACUGACAUACAAAACAUGAUCCUACAAAUUGUGAACUGGCCAGCUCAUUUGAGAUUGGAAUUUGUCACUGGUGACCAAGAUAUUUGGGCAUUAGUAGAGCAGAUGUUACACAGAGGUUUUACAACUGAGGAGAAUUAGUGCUCAUAUGCUUCUUGCUUCCAGAGAUGCUUCUUUUUAACACCAAACCAAACCUUACCUGACAUAAUCUAACCUACAAGUCAGCAUACAAACUAAAACCCUACAACCUACAAACCUACAGCUGUGCCUCUCCUUGGUUGGAAACCCUUCCUAUGAGCAUCCUGCUCUCUUUGCUUAUUUAUCUACUUGGUAAGCAAAAGCGCCUUCAUUUGACAUCUGCUCUACUAGACUAGUGCCGUUAAUUGUAAUUUGUAACCUAACCAAACCUAACCUAACCCAAACCCUGCUCAUAACUGUGAUAAGUUGCAGUCCUAACUCCUAACAUCACUUUGAUUCUCCUCAGCCAAUUACAUCAAGAGGGAGACCACACUGACAGGGGUCCAAGAUCCAGCUCAGGCCCUACUGUAAGUGUGGAUGUCCUGACCUGUAGCCAGAAGCACUGCCACUGGAGCACAGCAGCUAAUUCCCUAUCUUCCUUCCAGCUCCACAAUGGUCUGCAUUUCUGCAAUGGUCUCAACAGGCCUAACUGAACACAAAAGUCAUUUUCACUUGCUAACAGUUUAAGACUAAUAUUAUUCUAAAAACGGUUGUAAAGCAAUGUAUAAUGAAAUAGAUAUACGGUGUAUAUGAAUAGAAUUAGGUGUGCUGAGACUUGUACUUUAUGAACUUGAACAGUGAACACUAGAGUAACUAAUUCAACGAUUUCUUGUUAUUCAGACUGUCCGCCAGCGGACGGAGGCCCGGCGACGGACGUCGGCUCAAUGGCCAACAGUGGUCCGCCCGCCGGCUGAUGGUGGCUCGCCGACCGACGCCGGCCCGUCGGCUGACCACGGCAUUCCGGCUGAUGGUGGCCCGCCCGCCGACGGAGGUCCGCCGGCCAUUCGUGGCACGCCCGCCGACGGCAGCUCGACGACACGUCCUGGCUAUGUCACCCCCAAGAUUACUUCGCCCCCCAGUCCCUAGGUCACCAGUUGCGGGCGCUCCAUCUGACGGUGUCGUCCGACGGCUCCACGGUGACCAGCGCCGCCACUGCGGAAACCAUCCGACCCCGAAAAUGCUGCUAGCCGUACACGAACAAAGGGCGCCGGGCACCCAGGACCAGCGCCCUGCUCCGAGGCGGUGUCCAAAGAAGGCUGCACAGUGCACUUACUGUGCUAAGGCAUAGUGCCCGCUGACUGAUAGGAACAAAUGACGGUCAGUUAUCAGAUUUCAGUAUGGAACUCAAGAUGGUCGGAGCCGACCUGGCUCGGUGGAUGGUGUGCCAGGGUUGAUUAAGUGUCGAAAGGAGUGAGACGCCCAGAUAUGUGAAGGAUACGUCGAUACGAGCCCCGGCUUCGACUCGCCGUCCCAAAACGAUGUUGGUUGUGAUUGGAGGAUCCCCCACCCCCACCCCACCCACCCCGGAAUUUGUGCUUUGUAAUAGGACGAUAAUAUGUCGUGGUCUCAUUCUGGCUCGAUAUGGUAAUAGGUACUUAAUUGGACAGAUGUUGAUGGUAUUGGUGGUGGAUGUUAAUGGCAGGUUUGGCGAGCGCGAAUUAAUAAUCGUGAGUGCACUAGCUGCAAUCAGUCGCGCGCUUAUUGCAGAGCACCUGUGAGCAAGAAAAUUAUAUGAAUGUGGUAGUUUGUCGUGAAAUCUGUGUACUUUUGGAUUAAGUUGUCAGAACAUAAGUGUAUUUUUGCCCUGUCCACGGCAGCUCUGAAACAGAAACAUGGAGAUCGGCUGUGUCAUGUGUGCUGUAGCUGCGGGGGCAAGUAGUCCGCGCGUGCCAAAAAAUCAAAGGUGGUAUGUGAAUUUAAGUGAAUAUACCUCGCUAUAUUUUCAA